rnacentral:rRNA from 1 species
UGCAACUCGCCUGCAUGAAGUCGGAAUUGCUAGUAAUCGCAGAUCAGCAUGCUGCGGUGAAUACGUUCCCGGGCCUUGUACACACCGCCCGUCACACCAUGGGAGUCGGUAACACCCGAAGUCAGGAGCCUGACCUUUUUAGGAGGGCACUGCCGAAGGUGGGAUUGAUGACUGGGGUGAAGUCGUAACAAGGUAGC